AACGAACGCUGGCGGCAUGCCUAACACAUGCAAGUCGAACGAAGGCUUCGGCCUUAGUGGCGCACGGGUGCGUAACGCGUGGGAAUCUGCCCCUCGGUUCGGAAUAACAGCGAGAAAUUGCUGCUAAUACCGGAUGAUGACUUCGGUCCAAAGAUUUAUCGCCGAGGGAUGAGCCCGCGUAAGAUUAGGUAGUUGGUGGGGUAAUGGCCUACCAAGCCGACGAUCUUUAGCUGGUCUGAGAGGAUGAUCAGCCACGCUGGGACUGAGACACGGCCCAGACUCCUACGGGAGGCAGCAGUGGGGAAUAUUGGACAAUGGGCGAAAGCCUGAUCCAGCAAUGCCGCGUGAGUGAUGAAGGCCUUAGGGUUGUAAAGCUCUUUUACCAGGGAUGAUAAUGACAGUACCUGGAGAAUAAGCUCCGGCUAACUACGUGCCAGCCGCCGCCGUAACAC
rnacentral:rRNA from 1 species